CGCAACCCUUGUCAUUAGUUGCUACAUUUAGUUGGGCACUCUAAUGAGACUGCCGGUGACAAACCGGAGGAAGGUGGGGAUGACGUCAAGUCCUCAUGGCCCUUAUAGGUGGGGCUACACACGUCAUACAAUGGCUGGUACAAAGGGUUGCCAACCCGCGAGGGGGAGCUAAUCCCAUAAAACCAGUCGUAGUCCGGAUCGCAGUCUGCAACUCGACUGCGUGAAGUCGGAAUCGCUAGUAAUCGUGGAUCAGAAUGUCACGGUGAAUACGUUCCCGGGUCUUGUACACACCGCCCGUCACACCAUGGGAGCGGGUUCUGCCAGAAGUAGUUAGCUUAACCGCAAGGAGGGCGAUUACCACGGCAGGGUUCGUGACUGGGGUGAAGUCGUAACAAGGUAGCCGUAUCGGAAGG
rnacentral:rRNA from 1 species